GGCUUUGUAUUCAAAUAUGAUAUUAGACUGCAAUUCUAAAGGUGUAUUUAUUAUACUAAGGCCU
rnacentral:tRNA from 1 species